rnacentral:rRNA from 1 species
AUUGAACGCUGGCGGCAGGCCUAACACAUGCAAGUCGAACGAGUGGCGGACGGGUGAGUAAUGUCUGGGCAACUGCCCGAUGGAGGGGGAUAACUACUGGAAACAGUAGCUAAUACCGCAUACUCUCGGAUGUGCCCAGAUGGGAUUCGCUAGUAGGUGGGGUAACGGCUCACCUAGGCGACGAUCCCUAGCUGGUCUGAGAGGAUGACCCGCCAAACUGGAACUGAGACACGGGCCAGACUCCUACGGGAGGCAGCAGCGGGGAAUAUUGCACAAGGGGCGCAAGCCUGAUGCAGCCAUGCCGCGUGUAUGAAGAAGGCCUUCGGGUUGGAAAGUACUUUCAGCGAGGAGGCGUUACUCGCAGAAGAAGCACCGGCUAACUCCGUGCCAGCCGCCGCGGUAAUAC